rnacentral:lncRNA from 1 species
UAGGGAGCACCUCUGACUGCUCAUAGUGAGGUUGGGUUGCCAUGGAUACCACUGCUAUCUUCAUCACCCUCUCCCUUACUACACCAUAGAGAAGACUCAUGGGUCUCUGGCAAUCUUCUUAUAUAUGAGUGUCAUACGUUACAAUGAAUGGCCCAACGACAUGUCAUUGUAGCCAGGACCACUGUUGGCCCUCAGAAGUCAUUCUGGAAUGUUAGACAGCCUAUGGGUCUCACACAGGUCCCACACUAGAGCAUUAUAUAGGCUGAACCUGGCCCUCGUGUCCUUUGUCUCCUUGCCUCUUCAUCUCUUCCCCCGCUGUGACCUCACAGCCACUCCAUAACUCUCCACCUUCACAGUGUCUCACGGGAGGUCACACAACAUGGAGCCCUUUGUGUUUGGCUUCUUUCCCUUAGUGAUAUGCAUUUAAGUUUUCCCUUGCUCUGUAGAGCCAUCACUGCUCGGUGUCUGUGGUUUUCCAUCUCUGUUUACACUGAACUAGUCACUUUUAAGUUCGGGCAUCAUCAAUGGAAGUGCUACAGGCAUUUCCUGAGAAGGCUUCUGAGAGCUUGUGGAUCACUUGGGUGAGUUAACAGGACUUCUAUUAUAACGGGAGUGCUAUGACUUGACCUUUCUGAGCUCCUAUUUCAGGAGGGUGUUUUGUCUUUUUGAGAGAGGGUCUCACUAUGUGGUCCAGGCUGACUUCAAACUCUUGACUCUCCUUUCUUAGUCUCUGGGGUGCUGGGAUUAACAGUAUGUGCCACCACAUAACUUAGAUCUGCCUUUUAUAGACAGCAUAAAAACACAUUUGAAAUGUCUGUAGAGAAGUAGAUGAAACAGAGAAAGCAAAAUAUUAACUGUAGAUGUAGGCUGUGGGUGCAUGCAUACUGUGCAGUUCUUUUAGCUUUUCUGUGUUUGAAGUUUUUAUAAUAGAAUAUUAAUAAUAAAAUUAAAAG